AACACACCUGCGUGGGCCCUGCAUUCCUGGAGGUGUCGUCACAUCCUCUCUCCCCUCCCCCAGGGUGUGGCAGCCCUCUUUACUUGGACUUUCCUUUCUCAGAGGGAGUGAGCCAGGCCAGCGCUCCCUGGAUCUCCUGAGCAGAAUUUGCGCGGAGGCCUGCUUCACAAGCGCCAGAAUGAGAUCAUCUCCACAGUCCCUUCCAGCUCUCAACGUUCUGCAGUACCCGGGGAUAAUGAAGAUUGAUCAUUAUUUCAACAUUACCAGGGAACCACCUUUCCAUGGAUAUCUUUUAGAUAUGCAGAGAGUCAGCCUGGAGCCAUUGAUAACAGGACUCGAUGGUGACCUUGGGCAAGUGUUUAACUUCUGUGACCCUUGGUUUCUCACAUUUGUAAAAUGAGGCUACUAAGAGAUUCACUUGUCUCAAUUCACGUAUAAAGCACUUAGAAUGGGACUCAAUACAGGGUCAGAAUUCCAAGGAUGUUACCGUAUAUCAUCAUUAUUGCUGUCUAAUUAUUUUUA